rnacentral:lncRNA from 10 species
GUCUAGUGACGGUGGCUGCCGCGAGCGGGCGGACGCUCGCAACCUCUGAUGGAGGGGGGCUCAAGUUCACGGCUGCGGACGGGGAUGCGGGGGAUGCAGGGACCCGGGAGGCCAGGGAACCUGGCCAGUUGUUUUGGGCCAGGGGUGCGGGCGAGGGGUGGUUGUUGUUUCCCCACUUGUGGGGCCCGAAGUCAUCCACCGGCGGCCGCCACCGCGCGGGGCUGGAGGCUGAGAAUCCAAGUACGCUGCCACCCCCCCGCACUUCCGGGGGGGCGGGAAUACCGCCCUUAAGGUGGCUCUGUGAAGUCCCAGGUGGGGGCGAGCCUAAGGGGACUUAAGUUUAGGGGCGGUCUCCCGAGAGUCGGCCCCCCACGUUGAGAACACUCCGAAGUUUGCAUCUCGGUCAAGUUCAGGAGCGACGGUCCGCGGGGUCGUCUGGCUGCUCGUAGAAGCCGAGAGAUUUGUAUUGCCCGAAACUGGACGCUCAGCUGAGUCUCCGUUGCACCCCACUUCAUCCUCCGGGACCGUGGGGGAAAGGGCGCGGGGGUUCACAGCUUUGCCUCGGAGGGGCAGUUUUUAUAGUGGGCGCAAUUGGUGGGUAACAGGGUCCAGAUGGGAACAAGCGUGUAGGCGAUCCGAAACUCGGGGAACCCCGGUGUUAGUCUACUCCCCCUCCCGCCCCCGGACAACACGCACACGCUUAACACAACACGCACAACAUAACGCGCGCGCGCGCGCACACACACACUCCAUCCGCGCCGAGUUGCUUCCGGGAAAACAAGCCCAGAAGGCGGCGGACACUCGCAUAAAGUCACGCAGUAGUACUCGGAGCCCGGGGUAGAACCUGGACUUCAAAUCUCUGCACUCCCGGCCGGGUGGUGGGCGCAUAUCCUGGGUAGCCUCUAGGAAGCGCUAGACACAUGUAAGUGGUUCCUUUUCCGCGGUUAUUUUAUUCUCCCCCCGCCCCCCACCCCUUAGGGACGAAAGUGUGUGGUGGAAAGAAUCCCGAAGUCGGGAAUCCUGGUUCUUUCGUGGCCAGGCUACCACAGUGUGAAGCAAGCAAAUCACGGAACUCCUCCGAGCUUCAUUUCCCUCAUCUGCAGGUGGGGCCGGUGCCGUCCACCUCACUGGGCUGCCAGGAGUUAGUGUGACAGGGUCGCCUGCAGCACUAGGGAGGUGGUGGCCAAACAGCCCGCUUCCCUCCCCUGCCUCGCAGUUUCCAUCCUCGCAGAGCCUGGAUAGGAUGCCAGGAUAUAAGAGUGCGAUUUGGCAGGACCAGGUGUACUUUCCUGUGAGAAGCAUCGAGGGGAGGAGGGGAGGGGGAACCGGGUUAGAAGUCAGAUCUUUCCCAAGCCUCUGUCUAAAACUGGGGCUUGAAGUUGGACCUGCAGCAGUUUAAGUUCCUAGGUUCUAAAUUCAGACUUCGCUGCUUCUGAACUUGGAAUUCAGCCUUGGGUUCAUUGCCCCCAGCCCUAAGGUAUUUGCGGCUUUGAGUGUUCAGAAACCAACAGCAGCUGGUAUCAGUGGGAAACCUGCCAACUUUUCUUCACUCCGGGCACUCACCUAGCUUUCACUGAUCUGCAGAGGGUAACUGAAAGCCUACUGUGAGCCAGGCACUGAGCUGGGGAGGGGGUGGGGUAGGUAGGUAUACAGUGAUGACAAGAUCCAGUUGCUUCCUCAAGGAGAGAACAUUCUCCUCUGUCUGUUGCCCUGAAUCAUUUUCUGUUGUAUUCAGGGAGUUGGUGUUCUAAAUAUUUUUUAAUAACAGUAAUAAAAAUCAGUUUCAUGUAUUAAACACUUAUUAUCUGCCAGGCAUUCUCCUAAGCAAUUUAAAUACGCUGUUUUCUCCCCACAACUGUCUUGAGAGACAUAUAUUAUUAUCCAGAUUUAACAUGUGAGGAAAUAGGCCCAGAGAGGUUAAGUAUCUUUGUUGAGGUCACACAGGCAGCUGGAAAUUGACCUCAGGUCUGUGUUACAUUCCUUUGUAUUUUCUCUACUCUGGCAAACUUUCUUGUGGAGUAUUAGUUAUCUGCAGAGGAAAUAGCGCUUGUGGCAUAGAAGAAAUUUUCUUGCCUGAUCCUCUGACUGUAACUCCGUUCAGAGCUCUUGUAUUUAGAAAUUUCAAGACUUAGGACUUUGCAUAAAUAUAUAUCUUUUGCCUAAGGUUCUGUGUGUUCCUCUCUGCCUCAUGUGGUUUAGUAGGCUGAUCUUCUCCUUAUGUUGAGAAAUAGCAUAUUUCAUCCAAAAAAAUAACAAAUCUGUUCAUGUUAACGCCCCUGCUUGGAAGCCUUCAUUGGCUUUUCCUUACAAUCAGGAGAGUUCCGAUUCCUAUGCCUUGGAGAAGGGGCUUUUCACAAUCCAACUCCUUCUCUCUCCAGCCUUAUCUCUCACUCCCAGUUCUGUCAGGAAAGGCAGUGUUAUGCUGCCCUAACAAACAACCCUAACAUAUCAGUGGCUUAUUCCAGUGAAAGUUGGUCAUUUCUGCUACAUGACCGUUGUAGGUUGGCAGGGUAGCUCUGCUCAUUGUAGUCACUAAAGGGCUCAGGCUGAAGGAGGCCUCGUGUUGAUACCCCUUUUCACAGCUAUCCUGACUGUGGGGAAGGAACUCGGAACAUCAUGGCUGUCAGAGCAUCCACUUAUGGCACACAUCACUUCUGCCCAUACAUCAUUGGCCAAAGCAGUCACAUGGCCAUGCCUCUUUAGAUCACUAUAAUCCUACCAGGUGUCUCAAAGGGCUCUCCAGGAAUAUUUGGGGAAUAACACUAAAGACUCUGUCUCCCUUUCUGUUCACCAAAUGUUUGGUCUACUCUCCUUCCCCUGGUGGAAUUCCCUCAUUCUUUAUUCAAGGGAAACAACCUUAAAGACCCAUCCAGUCACAGCACCAAGCUGCCCUGCCCAUUGUUUUCCAUGACUCCUGGAUUUGCCCUCGGAGAGUCUUCCUUUUCCACAGCUAAAGCAGGCAUUGGAAAAUAUGCUUUUAAAUAAGCUUUUAAAAGUUGGGGAGAUGCAGAGUGACAUUAAGUCUUGAAUAUGUGUAGGUAGGCUUCUUAUCUAUCUGAUAUGAGGUGUUCCAUGUGACAAUAGCCACAAAGUUCUUUUCCAGACAUACUUCUUUGGUUUGCCAUAUCUCUUUGCUUUCCUGCUCUCCUGCCUGUUGACUCC